rnacentral:rRNA from 1 species
CCGGCGGUAUUCCCGGGGUAGGGGUGAAAUCCUAUAAUCCCGGGAGGACCACCAGUGGCGAAGGCGGCCGGCUAGAACACGCCCGACGGUGAGGGACGAAAGCCGGGGGAGCGAAGGGGAUUAGAGACCCCCGUAGUCCCGGCCGUAAACGAUGCGGGCUAGGUGUUGGGACGGCCACGAGCCGUCCCAGUGCCGUAGGGAAGCCGUUAAGCCCGCCGCCUGGGGAGUACGGCCGCAAGGCUGAAACUUAAAGGAAUUGGCGGGGGAGCACCACAAGGCGUGAAGCCUGCGGUUUAAUUGGAGUCAACCCCGAGAACCUUACCGGGGGAGACAGCUGGAUGAAGGCCAGGUUGAAGGCCUUGCCAGACUAGCUGAGAGGAGGUGCAUGGCCGUCGCCAGCUCGUGCCGUGAGGCGUCCUGUUAAGUCAGGCAACGAGCGAGGCCCUCGCCCCUAGUUGCCACCGGAUCCCGAGUGGAUCCGGGGGACACUAGGGGGACUGCCGGCGAUAAGCCGGAGGAAGGAGGGGGCGACGGCAGGUCCGCAUGCCCCGAAUCCCCCGGGCCACACGCGGGCUGCAAUGGCAGGGACAGAGGGUUGCGACCCCGAGAGGGGGAGCUAAUCCCUAAACCCUGCCUCAGUUGGGAUCGGGGGCUGCAACCCGCCCCCGUGAACGUGGAAUGCCUAGUAACCGCGCGUCACCAACGCGCGGUGAAUACGUCCCUGCUCCUUGCACACACUGCCCGUCGCGCCACCCAAGUGGGGCUUGGGUGAGGCGGGGUCGAUCGUUGGCCCCGUCGAACCUGGGCCCCGCGAGGGGGGCGAAGUCGUAACAAGGUGGCCGUAGGGGAACCUGCGGCCGGAUCACCUCCUAAGAAA